rnacentral:rRNA from 1 species
UACGGGGGGAGCAAGCGUUGUUCGGAUUUACUGGGCGUAAAGGGCGCGUAGGCGGCACCGCAAGUCGACUGUGAAAUCUCCGGGCUUAACUCGGAAAGGUCAGCCGAUACUGCGGGGCUAGAGUGCAGAAGGGGCAACUGGAAUUCUCGGUGUAGCGGUGAAAUGCGUAGAUAUCUGGAGGAAUACCGGUGGCGAAGGCGGCAUCCUGGACCAUUACUGACGCUGAUGCGCGAAAGCUAGGGGAGCAAACGGG